rnacentral:pre_miRNA from 1 species
CCGCCUGGGCGGCUUUGCUUGUUUGCCCGGGAGCAAAGCCGCCCAGGUGGCGGCUUUGCUCCCGGGCAAACGAGCAAAGCCGCUCAGGCGGCGGCUUU